rnacentral:rRNA from 1 species
UAAUACGUAGGGGGCAAGCGUUGUCCGGAUUUAUUGGGCGUAAAGCGCGCGUAGGCGGCCGAUCACGUCGGGUGUGAAAGCUCAGGGCUCAACCCUGAGAUGCCAUUCGAUACGGGUCGGCUAGAGGUAGGUAGGGGAGAGUGGAAUUCCUGGUGUAGCGGUGAAAUGCGCAGAUAUCAGGAGGAACACCGGUGGCGAAGGCGGCUCUCUGGGCCUUACCUGACGCUGAGGCGCGAAAGCUGGGGGAGCGAACAGGAUUAGAUACCCUGGUAGUCCCAGCCGUAAACGUUGGGUGCUAGGUGUGGGGAGGCCUUCAACCCUUUCCGUGCCGAAGCUAACGCAUUAAGCACCCCGCCUGGGGAGUACGGCCGCAAGGCUA